rnacentral:rRNA from 1 species
UACAGAGGGGGCAAGCGUUAUUCGGAAUUAUUGGGCGUAAAGGGCGCGUAGGCGGCCAUUCAAGUGACGGGUGAAAGCCCUCGGCUUAACCGAGGAACUGCCUGUCAGACUGGAUGGCUCGAGACCGGGAGAGGUGAGUGGAAUUCCCAGUGUAGCGGUGAAAUGCGUAGAUAUUGGGAGGAACACCAGUGGCGAAGGCGGCUCACUGGACCGGAACUGACGCUGAGGCGCGACAGCGUGGGGAGCAAACAGG